rnacentral:rRNA from 1 species
GACAGAGGGUGCAAGCGUUGUUCGGAUUUACUGGGCGUAAAGCGCGUGUAGGCGGCUUUGCAAGUCGGAUGUGAAAGCCCACGGCUCAACCGUGGAAGUGCAUCCGAAACUGCAUGGCUUGAGUCUCGGAGAGGAAGGUGGAAUGCUUGGUGUAGAGGUGAAAUUCGUAGAUAUCAAGCAGAACACCUGCGGCGAAGGCGGCCUUCUGGACGAUGACUGACGCUGAGACGCGAAAGCGUGGGGAGCAAACAGG